UUUUAAUUUAAGGAACGAACAGGAUGAACUUAUAUAAAAGUAGUAUUCCCUGAAGGUUGCUGUCUACUUCGCAAAAGCCCACGUUCAGUUCACAACAUGAAGACUACCAGCGUAAUAGCCAUAGCAAUUUUAUCCGCCAUGUUGCUGGUAGCUAUGGCUCCAACUGAAACGGAAGCCAUUUAUUAUAGGCCGCGAGGUAGUGUUGUCUGCAGAAUGAGGUGUAAGCGAAUCUUAAGGUACUGCAGAAAUAGCAGGAGUUGUGGGCAGCGGUACCGGGCUUGCGUUUAUAGAUGUGGACGUGGACGUGGACGAAGGAUCGGAUAGUGUUGGAUAUCCUGCUAGUGAAUGACAAGCAAAUAAAAUCUAUAAAACAAUA